GAAGUACUCCCUCCGUCCGAAAAUACUUGUCAUCAAAAUGGAUAAAAAGAGAUGUAUCUAGAACUAAAAUAUGUCUAGAUGCAUCCCUUUUUAUCCGUUUUGAUGACAAGUAUUUCCGGACGGAGGGAGUAGGUA
rfam:Triticum aestivum genome assembly, contig: Triticum_aestivum_CS42_TGACv1_scaffold_030432_1BL